rnacentral:rRNA from 1 species
UACGAAGGGGCCUAUCGUUGUUCGGAAUUACUGGGCGUAAAGCGCACGUAGGCGGCUACUUAAGUCAGGGGUGAAAUCCCGGGGCUCAACCCCGGAACUGCCUUUGAUACUGGGUAUCUCGAGUCCGGAAGAGGUGAGUGGAAUUCCGAGUGUAGAGGUGAAAUUCGUAGAUAUUCGGAGGAACACCAGUGGCGAAGGCGGCUCACUGGUCCGGUACUGACGCUGAGGUGCGAAAGCGUGGGGAGCAAACAGG